rnacentral:pre_miRNA from 1 species
AAAAAGACAAACCCUGGUUUUCGUGUCCAACGUUUAACCGUCCGUCUUAUUUGAAAAAAUUAAAAAGAUAAGUCACGCAUAAAGUAUUAAUCAUGUUUUAUCAUCUAACAACAAUGAAAGUACUAACUAUAAAAAAAUUUCACAUAAGACGGACAGUCAAACGUUGGCACGGGAACCCACGGUUUGUAUUUUU